AGUGAGGUGACCGAGUGGUUAAGGUGAUGGACUGCUAAUCCAUUUUGCAUUGAACGCACUGGUUCGAAUCCCAUCUUCGUCG
rfam:Daphnia magna strain Xinb3 scaffold02868, whole genome shotgun sequence.